rnacentral:rRNA from 1 species
ACUGCUCAGUAACACGUGGACAACCUACCCUUAGGACUGGGAUAAACCUGGGAAACUGGGUAUAAUACCGGAUAGGGCUCGGAUGCUGGAAUGCAUCGAGUCCCAAAGCUCCGGCGCCUAAGGAUGGGUCUGCGGCCUAUCAGGGUAGUAGUGGGUGUAAUGUACCUACUAGCCUACGACGGGUACGGGUCGUGAGAGCGAGAGCCCGGAGAUGGAUUCUGAGACACGAAUCCAGGCCCUACGGGGUGCAGCAGGCGCGAAAACUUUACAAUGCUGGAAACAGCGAUAGGGGGACUUUGAGUGCCAGGAUACAAUCUUGGCUGUCGUCGUGCCUAAAAAGCACGGCAUAGCAAGGGCCGGGCAAGACCGGUGCCAGCCGCCGCGGUAACACCGGCGGCUCGAGUGGUAACCGCUAUUAUUGGGUCUAAAGGGUCUGUAGCCGGCUGGAUAAGUCUCUUGGGAAAUCCGAUAGCUUAACUAUCGGGCUUUCAGGAGAUACUGUCCGGCUCGAGACCGGGAGAGGUGAGAGGUACUUCAUGGGUAGGGGUGAAAUCUUGUAAUCCUUGAAGGACCACCAGUGGCGAAGGCGUCUCACCAGAACGGAUCUGACGGCAAGGGACGAAAGCUAGGGGCACGAACCGGAUUAGAUACCCGGGUAGUCCUAGCCGUAAACGAUACUCGCUAGGUGUCGGCCACGGUGCGACCGUGGUCGGUGCCGUAGGGAAGCCGUGAAGCGAGCCACCUGGGAAGUACGGCCGCAAGGCUGAAACUUAAAGGAAUUGGCGGGGGAGCA